GCUUUGUCCAUGGAGUGCGUUCGAGGACAGGAUUGAUGGGAAUAGGUUACCCUUCUGCUGCAUGGCUUUACAAAGAUUGUUCCUAUAAGGCGUACACAGUCAACUCUGUGGAUGAUCUCUACAAUCCUUUUGCAUCAAUGUUGGAGCAGCUUACUUGGGAUGGUUGUCGCAAUAUGAAGGAAGCAUUUACAAGGAGCAACGGCUAGAUAUUCUGGAGCAAGCGCCCAGACCAAGUUGAUGAGUUACCGCAGGCAACCUAUUUGAUGAAAUGCAUACAUGUAUAAGAUGUUCACAUUAUUCUUGAGUUUUCCAUAUAUUUUUU